rnacentral:rRNA from 1 species
UACGUAGGGUGCAAGCGUUGUCCGGAAUUAUUGGGCGUAAAGAGCUCGUAGGCGGUCUGUCGCGUCUGCUGUGAAAACUCAGGGCUUAACCCUGAGCUUGCAGUGGGUACGGGCAGACUAGAGUGCGGUAGGGGAGACUGGAAUUCCUGGUGUAGCGGUGAAAUGCGCAGAUAUCAGGAGGAACGCCGGUGGCGAAGGCAGCUCGCUGGGCCGUAACUGACGCUGAGGAGCGAAAGCGUGGGGAGCGAACAGG